rnacentral:rRNA from 1 species
AUUGAACGCUGGCGGCAGGCCUAACACAUGCAAGUCGAACGAGUGGCGGACGGGUGAGUAAUGUAUGGGAAACUGCCUGAUGGAGGGGGAAAAAUACUGGAAACGGUAGCUAAUACCGCAUACCAUCAGAUGUGCCCCGAUGGGAUUAGCUAGUUGGUGGGGUAACGGCUCACCAAGGCGACGAUCUCUAGCUGGUCUGAGAGGAUGACCAGCCGCACUGGAACUGAUACACGGUCCAGACGCCUACGGGAGCAAGCAGUGGGGAAUAUUGCACAAUGGGCGCAAGCCUGAUGCAGCCAUGCCGCGUGUAUGAAGAGGGCCUUCGGGUUGUAAAGUACUUUCAGCGGGGAGGCGUUACCCGCAGGAGAAGCACCGGCUAACUCCGUGCCAGCAGCCGCGGUAAUAC